AGUGAACGCUGGCGGUAGGCCUAACACAUGCAAGUCGAACGGCAGCACAGAGGAGCUUGCUCCUUGGGUGGCGAGUGGCGGACGGGUGAGGAAUACAUCGGAAUCUACUCUGUCGUGGGGGAUAACGUAGGGAAACUUACGCUAAUACCGCAUACGACCUACGGGUGAAAGCAGGGGACCUUCGGGCCUUGCGCGAUUGAAUGAGCCGAUGUCGGAUUAGCUAGUUGGCGGGGUAAAGGCCCACCAAGGCGACGAUCCGUAGCUGGUCUGAGAGGACGAUCAGCAACACUGGAACUGAGACACGGUCCAGACUCCUACGGGGGGAAGCAGUGGAGAAUAUUGGACAAUGGGCGCAAGCCUGAUGCAGCCAUACCGCGUGGGUGAAGAAGGCCUUCGGGUUGUAAAGCCCUUUUGUUGGGAAAGAAAUCCAGCUGGCUAAUACCCGGUUGGGAUGACGGUACCCAAAGAAUAAGCACCGGCUAACCUCGUGCCAGCCGCCGCCGUAA
rnacentral:rRNA from 1 species